rnacentral:lncRNA from 1 species
GAAAAGGCCACGUGAGGACACAGCAAGAAAGUGGUCAUCUGCAAGCGCAAAAGACAGGCCUCAGAAGAACCCAACCCUAUUGACACUAUGAUCUUGGACAUCCAGCCUCCAGAACUGCCGUUAACAAACCAUCUGUAUGCCUAAUAUUGAUGCUGUCUUUCCCUAGUGUACUGGACAACCUAAGACAGGGAAAUAAAGAUAAAGUUUGGAUUGAAGAGUGAGGU